UCAUUCUUGAAGUCAGUGAGACCACAAACCCACCAGAAGGAACCAACUCCAGAAACAAUAUACUAAAUAAUAUAUAUUUAUAUUAAAAUAUAUAAUAAAUGCUUCCUUUUAACAGCCUUGAGAAAAAAAAUUGUUGGUUUUUUUUCUAAAAGGUUUUGGUUGGUUGAAGGUUUUCAGACUGAUGAUGAGGAACAAGAUGAAAACCGUAUUGAUUUUCUUUUACCACAUUU
rnacentral:lncRNA from 1 species